UACGAAGGGUGCAAACGUUGCUCGGAAUUAUUGGGCGUAAAGCGCACGUAGGCGGCAUUGCAAGUCCCAUGUGAAAUCCCACGGCUUAACCGUGGAAGUGCAUGGGAAACUGCAGUGCUUGAGUACUUAAGAGGAUCGCGGAAUUCCCGGUGUAGAGGUGAAAUUCGUAGAUAUCGGGAGGAACACCAGUGGCGAAGGCGGCGAUCUGGGAAGAUACUGACGCUGAGGUGCGAAAGCGUGGGAGCAACAGG
rnacentral:rRNA from 1 species